ensembl:lncRNA
GGAGAGGAGAAGCUGUAUUCUGUUCCUGUUCUGAGGUCGCAGCGACCGAUAUCUCUGCUUCCGACUGUGUGUUUACCGCGCCAUCCCUCCGGACUGUUUCUCCAUGCCCGUGCCGCAGCUCAGAUGGGAGACGUAAGUGCAGUCUGGCACGUGAACGCGCGCGGCAGGUCUCUCUGGCGGGCCAUCCCAAGUACGGGAUGCUGAACGGGAGCCGUGAGGGUUUGUUUGAACUGGGCAAGCAGCUCCAGCAGGAGGGAGACUCCAAGGCUGCUCUGCACUGCUUUUUGAGCUGCCUGCUGGGACUCACACAUGUGCAGAGCUUCCACUCGCUUCCCAACUGCCUGCAUCAGAUUGCCGAAAUCUACAUUGAUGACAAGAAUUAUGGGAAAGCUCUGCAGUUCAUUCAGGCGGAGAAGAUGUUCUACGAAGUGGCAUUGAUCGAGCUCACCUCACUGCAGGCCAGCACAGGGUCUCAGGAAGACGGACCAUUGGGAACGUCAGGAUGUCUGUCUCAAGAGGAGUUAUCAGAACAGGCUUCACAGGCCCAGGAUCUUGAGAGACUGGCUCAGCUCUGCAUCAUGAGCAAAAGACCCCAUCUUGCUUUAGAAUACAGUGGCAAGGCCACUAAAAUCCACCAGAGGGCUUUUGGUAACGAUCAUCCGAUCACAGCCCGGAGUCUGGAGCUGCUGGCCACUGUCUAUGCUGAGAUCGGCAAGACAGAAUAUACAAAUUCAUUGGGAGAGUGUGUGUCGACUCUUUCCAAAAGGUUCUCGGCCACCGAGUCAUUCAGCGAUGCUCUGAGUAGCAUCUCUCAUAGCCAUAAAGACAGACACGCUGAGCUGCGACACAGAAAAGAGCCAUACAUACAACAGGAAACUCCUAAAACGAAGGUCAUAAAUGAAAAACUGCCCACCUCUAUUCUGAAAAGGUCCAAUGUGAGCAACGUGGAGUCAGACUCAUCGAGCAAGCGAAAAAGCGAGAGGCGGGUUCGCUUCAGAGAGCCGGAGAUCACUGUUCAUGUCUACGACACCCCCCAGAGCCGGUUGCACCUAGCCCUGCUCACCUGCCUGUUCCUGCUUCUGUCUGCGCUGGGUGUAGCACUGUACUGCACGGACCGCCGAAGACCCCAGCGUGCCUGCGAAGAGCUGCAGACAGCACUGGCUGUGUACCUGCUUCAGUUCAAACAGAUCGUUUGGGCCUGCUGGAUCUGGCUGACCAUGCAAUGA